rnacentral:lncRNA from 1 species
AUCCUGUGCUCUUUCUCAGGAGGGGCUGAGGACAUCGCUGCACACAGUGUAUCACGCACUGCAGGAGAAUGGUGACAGGAGUACCAUGCAACUGAAUCAGUGGAGAAAAAGAAACAAUCAAUGAAGUAAUUUCUCUAAGGACAAAAACAAAACUAGAGUUUUCAGGCAUUGAUGACUGUA